rnacentral:rRNA from 1 species
GGGGGGCUGCUCCUAGUACGAGAGGACCGGAGUGGACGCAUCACUGGUGUUCGGGUUGUCAUGCCAAUGGCAUUGCCCGGUAGCUAAAUGCGGAAGAGAUAAGUGCUGAAAGCAUCUAAGCACGAAACUUGCCCCGAGAUGAGUUCUCCCUGACCCUUUAAGGGUCCUGAAGGAACGUUGAAGACGACGACGUUGAUAGGUCGGGUGUGUAAGCGUAGCGAUACGUUGAGCUAACCGAUACUAAUGAACCGUGAGGCUUAACCUUACAACGCCGAAG